rnacentral:rRNA from 1 species
UGGGGAAUAUUGCACAAUGGGCGCAAGCCUGAUGCAGCCAUGCCGCGUGUAUGAAGAAGGCCUUCGGGUUGUAAAGUACUUUCAGCGGGGAGGAAGGGAGUAAAGUUAAUACCUUUGCUCAUUGACGUUACCCGCAGAAGAAGCACCGGCUAACUCCGUGCCAGCAGCCGCGGUAAUACGGAGGGUGCAAGCGUUAAUCGGAAUUACUGGGCGUAAAGCGCACGCAGGCGGUUUGUUAAGUCAGAUGUGAAAUCCUCGGGCUCAACCUGGGAACUGCAUCUGAUACUGGCAAGCUUGAGUCUCGGAGAGGGGGGUAGAAUUCCAGGUGUAGCGGUGAAAUGCGUAGAGAUCUGGAGGAAUACCGGUGGCGAAGGCGGCCCCCUGGACAAAGACUGACGCUCAGGUGCGAAAGCGUGGGGAGCAAACAGG